rnacentral:rRNA from 1 species
AUCUGCCUGGUAGUGGGGGAUAACGUCCGGAAACGGACGCUAAUACCGCAUACGUCCUACGGGAGAAAGCAGGGGACCUUCGGGCCUUGCGCUAUCAGAUGAGCCUAGGUCGGAUUAGCUAGUUGGUGGGGUAAUGGCUCACCAAGGCGACGAUCCGUAACUGGUCUGAGAGGAUGAUCAGUCACACUGGAACUGAGACACGGUCCAGACUCCUACGGGAGGCAGCAGUGGGGAAUAUUGGACAAUGGGCGAAAGCCUGAUCCAGCCAUGCCGCGUGUGUGAAGAAGGUCUUCGGAUUGUAAAGCACUUUAAGUUGGGAGGAAGGGCAGUAAAUUAAUACUUUGCUGUUUUGACGUUACCGACAGAAUAAGCACCGGCUAACUCUGUGCCAGCAGCCGCGGUAAUACAGAGGGUGCAAGCGUUAAUCGGAAUUACUGGGCGUAAAGCGCGCGUAGGUGGUUCGUUAAGUUGGAUGUGAAAUCCCCGGGCUCAACCUGGGAACUGCAUUCAAAACUGACGAGCUAGAGUAUGGUAGAGGGUGGUGGAAUUUCCUGUGUAGCGGUGAA